GGGCACGUGGCGGAAUCUGGUAGACGCGCUGGACUUAGGAUCCAGUGGGUAAAACCCGUGGGGGUUCAAAUCCCCCCGUGCCCACGA
rnacentral:tRNA from 1 species